rnacentral:rRNA from 1 species
UAUUUUGACUAUACAAAGGUAUUGUAAUAAGACUUUAAUUGAGUGCUAAAAGAAUGGAAUUUCAAAAAAAAUCUUUUUUAAAAUUAAAAAUUGAAGUUAUUUUUAUAAGUGAAGAAACAAUAAUAAAAAUUUAGGACAAGAAGACCCUAUGAAUUUUUAUAUUAUGUAUGUAAUAUAUAUUAUAUAUAUAAUAUUUGAUUGGGGCGAUUAAAAAAAAUUAAAAACUUUUUGAAUAAAAAUUUGACCCAUUAAUAAUGAUUUAAUGUUAAAAUACUCUAGGGAUAACAGCGUAAUAAUUUUGGAUAGAUCUUAUAGAUAAAAUAGUUUGCGACCUCGAUGUUGGAUUAGGAUACUUAUUUAAUGAAGAAGUUAAGUAAAGAAGUUUGUUCAACUUUUAAAUUCC